rnacentral:rRNA from 1 species
GUAGGGAAUAUUGGACAAUGGGCGAAAGCCUGAUCCAGCAAUGCCGCGUGAGUGAUGAAGGCCUUAGGGUUGUAAAGCUCUUUUACCAGGGAUGAUAAUGACAGUACCUGGAGAAUAAGCUCCGGCUAACUCCGUGCCAGCAGCCGCGGUAAUACGGAGGGAGCUAGCGUUGUUCGGAAUUACUGGGCGUAAAGCGCGCGUAGGCGGCGAUUUAAGUCAGAGGUGAAAGCCCGGGGCUCAACCCCGGAAUAGCCUUUGAGACUGGAUUGCUAGAAUCCUGGAGAGGUGAGUGGAAUUCCGAGUGUAGAGGUGAAAUUCGUAGAUAUUCGGAAGAACACCAGUGGCGAAGGCGGCUCACUGGACAGGUACUGACGCUGAGGUGCGAAAGCGUGGGGAGCAAACAGGAUUAGAUACCCGUGUAGUCC